UACCCGCAGCACAAGUGGUGGUCAUUAUUAUUGGGCCUAAAGCGUCCGUAGCUGGCCUGUUAGAUGCCUGGGUAAAUCGAUGCGCUCAACGUAUCGAACUCCGGGUAGACCGGCAGGCUUGGGACCGGGAGAGGCGUGAGCUACUCGAGGGGUAGGGGUAAAAUCCUGUAAUCCUUCGGGGAGGACCAGUGGCGAAGGCGUCACGCUAGAACGGCUCCGACAGUGAGGGACGAAGCCCUGGGGCGCAAACCGG
rnacentral:rRNA from 1 species